rnacentral:rRNA from 1 species
UACAGAGGGGGCAAGCGUUAAUCGGAAUUACUGGGCGUAAAGUGUGCGCAGGUGGCCGCGCAAGUCGAGUGUGAAAUCCCCGAGCUUAACUUGGGAAUUGCGCUCGAAACUACGUGGCUAGAGUGUGGCAGAGGGAGGUGGAAUUCCACGUGUAGCGGUGAAAUGCGUAGAGAUGUGGAGGAACACCAAUGGCGAAGGCAGCCUCCUGGGCCAACACUGACACUCAUGCACGAAAGCGUGGGGAGCAACAGG